rnacentral:rRNA from 1 species
GACGAACGCUGGCGGCGUGCUUAACACAUGCAAGUCGAACGCUGAAGCUUGGUGCUUGCACUGGGUGGAUGAGUGGCGAACGGGUGAGUAAUACGUGAGUAACCUGCCCUUGACUCUGGGAUAAGCCUGGGAAACUGGGUCUAAUACUGGAUACGACAUGUCACCGCAUGGUGGUGUGUGGAAAGGGUUUUACUGGUUUUGGAUGGGCUCACGGCCUAUCAGCUUGUUGGUGGGGUAAUGGCUCACCAAGGCGACGACGGGUAGCCGGCCUGAGAGGGUGACCGGCCACACUGGGACAGAGACACGGCCCAGACUCCUACGGGAGGCAGCAGUGGGGAAUAUUGCACAAUGGGCGGAAGCCUGAUGCAGCGACGCCGCGUGAGGGAUGACGGCCUUCGGGUUGUAAACCUCUUUCAGCACGGAAGAAGCGAAAGUGACGGUACGUGCAGAAGAAGCGCCGGCUAACUACGUG